rnacentral:rRNA from 1 species
UCUCCUGGAAACGGGUGGUAAUGCCGGAUGCUCCGGUUGGAUGCAUGUCCUUCCGGGAAAGAUUCUAUCGGUAUGGGAUGGGGUCGCGUCCUAUCAGCUUGAUGGCGGGGUAACGGCCCACCAUGGCUUCGACGGGUAGCCGGCCUGAGAGGGCGACCGGCCACAUUGGGACUGAGAUACGGCCCAGACUCCUACGGGAGGCAGCAGUGGGGAAUAUUGCACAAUGGGCGCAAGCCUGAUGCAGCGACGCCGCGUGCGGGAUGGAGGCCUUCGGGUUGUAAACCGCUUUUGAUCGGGAGCAAGCCCUUCGGGGUGAGUGUACCUUUCGAAUAAGCACCGGCUAACUACGUGCCAGCAGCCGCGGUAAUACGUAGGGUGCAAGCGUUAUCCGGAAUUAUUGGGCGUAAAGGGCUCGUAGGCGGUUCGUCGCGUCCGGUGUGAAAGCCCAUCGCUUAACGGUGGGUCUGCGCCGGGUACGGGCGGGCUGGAGUGCGGUAGGGGAGACUGGAAUUCCCGGUGUAACGGUGGAAUGUGUAGAUAUCGGGAAGAACACCA